rnacentral:rRNA from 1 species
GACGAACGCUGGCGGCGUGCUUAACACAUGCAAGUCGAACGAAAAGAGGGAAAGAGCCUGCUCUUUCCGGAAUUGAGUGGCAAACGGGUGAGUAACACGUAAACAACCUGCCUUCAGGAUGGGGACAACAGACGGAAACGACUGCUAAUACCGAAUAAGUUCCAAGAGCCGCAUGGCCCAUGGAAGAAAAGGUGGCCUCUACCUGUAAGCUAUCGCCUGAAGAGGGGUUUGCGUCUGAUUAGCUGGUUGGAGGGGUAACGGCCCACCAAGGCGACGAUCAGUAGCCGGUCUGAGAGGAUGAACGGCCACACUGGAACUGAGACACGGUCCAGACUCCUACGGGAGGCAGCAGUGGGGAAUCUUCCGCAAUGGGCGAAAGCCUGACGGAGCAACGCCGCGUGAGUGAUGACGGCCUUCGGGUUGUAAAACUCCGUGAUCCGGGACGAAAAGGCAGAGUGCGAAGAACAAACUGCAUUGACGGUACCGGAAAAGCAAGCCACGGCUAACUACGUG